rnacentral:rRNA from 1 species
UACAGAGGGUGCAAACGUUGUUCGGAAUUACUGGGCAUAAAGCGCACGUAGGCGGCGUUGUAAGUGCGGUGUGAAAGCCCACGGCUUACCCGUGGAACAGCACCGUAGACUGCAAUGCUAGAGGAUGGUAGAGGAGAGCGGAACUCCUGGUGGAGCGGUGAAAUGCGUAGAUAUCAGGAGGAACACCGGUGGCGAAGGCGGCUCUCUGGUCCGUUUCUGACGCUGAGGUGCGAAAGCUAGGGUAGCGAAC